CACACACACACACACACACACACACAGAACAGUAGAAUUUCAACAGGACACUGCAGUCAGUCACAGGCACAUGAGCGUUGGAGGACACUGAGUGAGGGUGAUAGAAAGAGAGAUGGGACGAGACAAAUCACAGCACGCCAUGUUUACAGUGGUUCAGAUGACGGUUCCUGAAACAGGACAUGGACAGACUUGCUGAACAUGAAUUAGACUGAUUUUGCACUGGAUUAUUCAAGUGGGCUCAAUCUGUUCAGCUCAUAUUAUGCUCCAUGUCUUCUGUUCAGUUCUGGAAGGCGCUUAGAACACUGGGAUGGCUCAAGUGGACGAGGUUUUCAGUGACUUGUUAGGGUGCUCAUGAGCUGCUCAGUAGUCAGUGUAGAUCCUGUGUUGCAAUCAGCAGCUACAUCUGGCUACUGGGUCUCUGAUGGCAUUCUCUGCUUCCUGUU